GACGAACGCUGGCGGCGUGCUUAACACAUGCAAGUCGAACGGAAAGGCCCUGCUUUUGUGGGGUGCUCGAGUGGCGAACGGGUGAGUAACACGUGAGUAACCUGCCCUUGACUUUGGGAUAACUUCAGGAAACUGGGGCUAAUACCGGAUAGGAGCUCCUGCUGCAUGGUGGGGGUUGGAAAGUUUCGGCGGUUGGGGAUGGACUCGCGGCUUAUCAGCUUGUUGGUGGGGUAUUGGCUUACCAAGGCUUUGACGGGUAGCCGGCCUGAGAGGGUGACCGGCCACAUUGGGACUGAGAUAGGGCCCAGACUCCUACGGGAGGCAGCAGUGGGGAAUAUUGCACAAUGGGCGGAAGCCUGAUGCAGCAACGCCGCGUGCGGGAUGACGGCCUUCGGGUUGUAAACCGCUUUCGCCUGUGACGAAGCGUGAGUGACGGUAAUGUGUAAAGAAGCACCGGCUAACUACGUG
rnacentral:rRNA from 1 species